CAGGUUAAUGAGGUGAGAGCAGACCAUGACAACAGUUUUACUGUAAACCUGCUUUCUCUAAGCACUCGUGUCAUAUUGGAAAUUAACCUUGUGGAGAAAGAAAGCAUAGUUUUCAUUCUGUGACCUUGGUCUUAAUUGGUGUUCUCUAUACAGGCAGACAGGAAGUAUCAUAGAGGGAUAUUAAGAAUCUGACCAGGAGGAAAGCAGCACAGAUUAGCUGUGGGUCUCAGCCAUUGUCGUGAUUAUGGUGUUAUUGAAGCUAAACAAAAGAUGGAGAAGACAGGAGAGGAUGAUCUUCCAGGCAAAGCCAGCAGACAUCAUCAGACCAUUCUCUGGAUAUGAUGGGGCCAUCAGGCGGAUUGACCUGGACCAACGGGCCCCGGCAGGACCCGGCAGGCACCCAGCCGGCCAAGAUGACAAUGUGGAGGUGAGGAGAGGGGACCUUCAGGGCUUGGGAGCCCCCCUGUUCUCUCCUCUCACUCGAAGAUGUCCGUCUGCACUGAAACUGGGAAUCCUUCCAGGAACGUGGAAUAAUACGAUUCCAAUCCUAUUUCCCUCCUUGGCAAAGGGGCUGACAGCCAAUCGCAACAGAGCUCUCAAAUCGCUGUGUAUAUAACCCAAAACAAGCAAGGCCCGGAAAAGGGUGGUUAACAUCCAUCAACAGAGGACCAUUCCCAGUGAGGCAACACCUGAUCUGGUCUGAGGGGAGAACCUUUAGAGAAAGACUGAGGCAUACAGGGCUGAUGGGAGCUCCUGAGCUGAAUAAAAAACCCUGGAUUAUUUCACCGUCUUCAGAAGCAAUACGCAUGCAGUGACUCAUUUACUUCUACGUAAAGGGGGAACACACAAUGGAGUUAUUCUGCAGCAGCACUGGCAAACAUUUGAGGGAAACAGCUAAUCUACCGAGUGUCAUUAAUGCUCAGUGAUGCUUGAUGCUGAGGGCUUGGCAUUUACAGUACAUGACAUUUGUACAGGACAGUAUGUGGUGUCUUCCCUCCCAUGCCUUACAGCACUUCCCAGUCUAGCCCCUAAUUGGCUACCCUGUAAUUAAGAUCUGAGUUUGAGUGCAGGGAUACUGGGGGAAAGAUGACAGGCAGCGAUAUAACAAACACCAGCCCCCCUAAGGAGUCCCUGAGGACCCCCCCCCCCCCCCAACACACA
rnacentral:lncRNA from 1 species